rnacentral:tRNA from 1 species
GGGCGGUAAAGGGAUUAUUCCCUGUACACGAGGCUACAACUCGCCACCUACUACUCGGCCAUACUACC